rnacentral:rRNA from 1 species
GCGCGAAAACUCUACAAUGCAGGCAACUGCGAUAGGGGGACAUCGAGUGGCAGCGGGUGUAGCAAGGGCCGGGCAAGACCGGUGCCAGCCGCCGCGGUAAUACCGGCGGCUCGAGUGGUGGCCGAUAUUAUUGAGUCUAAAGGGUCCGUAGCCGGCUUUGCAAGUCUCUCGGGAAAUCCAGCGGCUUAACCGUUGGUCUCCGGGGGGUACUACAUUGCUUGGGACUGGGAGAGGUAGGAGGUACUCAGGGGGUAGGAGUGAAAUCCUGUAAUCCUUUGGGGACCACCGGUGGCGAAGGCGUCCUACCAGAACAGGUCCGACGGUGAGGGACGAAAGCUAGGGGCACGAACCGGAUUAGAUACCCGGGUAGUCCUAGCCGUAAACGAUGCUCGCUAGGUGUCACAACAGUCGUGAACUGUUGUGGUGCCGUAGGGAAGCCGUGAAGCGAGCCACUUGGGAAGUACGACCGCAAGGUUGAAACUUAAAGGAAUUGGCGGGGGAGCACACAACGGGUGGAGCCUGCGGUUUAAUUGGACUCAACGCCGGGAAGCUUACCGGGAUCGACAGUGUAUGAAGGCCAGGCUGAAGACCUUGCCGGACUAUCUGAGAAGAAGUGCAUGGCC